AGAGUUUGAUCCUGGCUCAGAUUGAACGCUGGCGGCAUGCCUUACACAUGCAAGUCGAACGGCAGCACGGGUGCUUGCACCUGGUGGCGAGUGGCGAACGGGUGAGUAAUAUAUCGGAACGUACCCUAGAGUGGGGGAUAACGUAGCGAAAGUUACGCUAAUACCGCAUACGAUCUACGGAUGAAAGUGGGGGAUCGCAAGACCUCAUGCUCAUGGAGCGGCCGAUAUCUGAUUAGCUAGUUGGUGGGGUAAAAGCCUACCAAGGCGACGAUCAGUAGCUGGUCUGAGAGGACGACCAGCCACACUGGAACUGAGACACGGUCCAGACUCCUACGGGAGGCAGCAGUGGGGAAUUUUGGACAAUGGGGGCACCCUGAUCCAGCAAUGCCGCGUGAGUGAAGAAGGCCUUCGGGUUGUAAAGCUCUUUUGUCAGGGAAGAAACGGGAUUUUCUAAUACAAAGUCCUAAUGACGGUACCUGAAGAAUAAGCACCGGCUAACUACGUGCCAGCAGCCGCGGUAAUACGUAGGGUGCAAGCGUUAAUCGGAAUUACUGGGCGUAAAGCGUGCGCAGGCGGUUGUGCAAGACAGAUGUGAAAUCCCCGGGCUCAACCUGGGAAUUGCAUUUGUGACUGCACGGCUAGAGUGUGUCAGAGGGGGGUAGAAUUCCACGUGUAGCAGUGAAAUGCGUAGAGAUGUGGAGGAAUACCGAUGGCGAAGGCAGCCCCCUGGGAUAACACUGACGCUCAUGCACGAAAGCGUGGGGAGCAAACAGGAUUAGAUACCCUGGUAGUCCACGCCCUAAACGAUGUCUACUAGUUGUCGGGUCUUAAUUGACUUGGUAACGCAGCUAACGCGUGAAGUAGACCGCCUGGGGAGUACGGUCGCAAGAUUAAAACUCAAAGGAAUUGACGGGGACCCGCACAAGCGGUGGAUGAUGUGGAUUAAUUCGAUGCAACGCGAAAAACCUUACCUACCCUUGACAUGUACGGAACUUACCAGAGAUGGUUUGGUGCUCGAAAGAGAACCGUAACACAGGUGCUGCAUGGCUGUCGUCAGCUCGUGUCGUGAGAUGUCGGGUUAAGUCCCGCAACGAGCGCAACCCUUGUCAUUAGUUGCUACGAAAGGGCACUCUAAUGAGACUGCCGGUGACAAACCGGAGGAAGGUGGGGAUGACGUCAAGUCCUCAUGGCCCUUAUGGGUAGGGCUUCACACGUCAUACAAUGGUACAUACAGAGGGCCGCCAACCCGCGAGGGGGAGCUAAUCCCAGAAAGUGUAUCGUAGUCCGGAUUGUAGUCUGCAACUCGACUACAUGAAGUUGGAAUCGCUAGUAAUCGCGGAUCAGCAUGUCGCGGUGAAUACGUUCCCGGGUCUUGUACACACCGCCCGUCACACCAUGGGAGCGGGUUUCACCAGAAGUAGGUAGCCUAACCGCAAGGAGGGCGCUUACCACGGUGGGAUUCGUGACUGGGGUGAAGUCGUAACAAGGUA
rnacentral:rRNA from 1 species